rnacentral:rRNA from 1 species
UACGAAGGGUGCUAGCGUUGUUCGGAAUUACUGGGCGUAAAGCGUGCGCAGGCGGCUUCUCAAGUCAGGGGUGAAAGCCCAGAGCUCAACUCUGGAACUGCCUUUGAGACUGAGAGGCUUGAGUACGGGAGAGGUGAGUGGAAUUCCCAGUGUAGAGGUGAAAUUCGUAGAUAUUGGGAAGAACACCGGUGGCGAAGGCGGCUCACUGGCCCGAAACUGACGCUCAUGCACGACAGCGUGGGGAUCAAACAGG